UACGUAGGGGGCGAGCGUUGUCCGGAAUUACUGGGCGUAAAGGGCGUGUAGGCGGGUCAGCAAGUUGCGGGUAAAAAACCAGGGCUCAACCCUGGGGGUGCCUGCAAAACUGCUGAUCUUGAGGGCGGGAGAGGAGAGUGGAAUUCCCGGAGUAGCGGUGAAAUGCGUAGAUACCGGGAGGAACACCAGUGGCGAAGGCGGCUCUCUGGACCGCACCUGACGCUGAGGCGCGAAAGCUAGGGGAGCGAACGGG
rnacentral:rRNA from 1 species